UACGUAGGGGGCAAGCGUUGUCCGGAUUUAUUGGGCGUAAAGAGCGUGUAGGCGCCAGACAGGUCCGUUGUGAAAACUAGAGGCUUAACCUCUAGACGUCGAUGGAAACCGUCUGGCUAGAGUCCGGAAGAGGAGAAUGGAAUUCCUGGUGUAGCGGUGAAAUGCGUAGAUAUCUGGAGGAACACCGGUGGCGAAGGCGGCAUCCUGGACCGGUAUUGACGCUGAGGCGCGAAAGCCAGGGGAGCAAACGGG
rnacentral:rRNA from 1 species